GCCGCGGGUGGAGUAGCCUUCGUAAUGCGGGGGUCGCGUGUUCGAGUCACGCAAGCGGCACCA
rnacentral:tRNA from 1 species